rnacentral:snRNA from 1 species
UUGUUUUGGUUUUUAGUCGGUUA